rnacentral:ribozyme from 10 species
AUGUCAAGAAAGUAUGCAAAAAAAAAGGAAAAAGUCGCAGGAUCUCCACUGUUCCCACCUCCCUCAGAAUUCGUCGGCUUCUCUUUUCUCUCUCUCUUCGGCUGCUUUCUUCGCUUUUUUUUCUUUCUCCU